rnacentral:ncRNA from 1 species
AGGCCCUGUAAUUGGAAUGAGUACACUUUAAAAGCUUUGUGGUGUAUCCAUUGGAGGGCAAGUCUGGUGCCAGCAGCCGCGGUAAUUCCAGCUCCAAAAGUAUAUAUUUAAGUUGUUGCGGUUAAAAAGCUCGUAGUUGGAUUUUGGGCGCAGGCGGCCGGUCCGUCGCAAGGCGUGUACUGGACGUCCUGGCCUUCCCUCCGGUUCUCCGCCGGUGCUCUUGACUGAGUGUCGGCGGCGGCCGGAACGUUUACUUUGAAAAAAUUAGAGUGUUCAAAGCAGGCUCUCGAGCCUGGAUAAUGGUGCAUGGAAUAAUGGAAUAGGACCUCGGUUCUAUUUUGUUGGUUUUCGGAGCGCGAGGUAAUGAUUAAGAGGGACAGACGGGGGCAUUCGUACUGUGCCGUUAGAGGUGAAAUUCUUGGAUCGGCGCAAGACGAACGACUGCGAAAGCAUUUGCCAAGAAUGUUUUCUUUAAUCAAGAGCGAAAGUCAGAGGUUCGAAGACGAUCAGAUACCGUCCUAGUUCUGACUAUAAACGAUGCCAACUAGCGAUCGGGGGGCGUUACAUUGACGACCCCUCCGGCAGCUUACGGGAAACCAAAGUCUUUGGGUUCCGGGGGAAGUAUGGUUGCAAAGCUGAAACUUAAAGGAAUUGACGGAAGGGCACCACAGGAGUGGAGCCUGCGGCUUAAUUUGACUCAACACGGGAAAUCUCACCCGGCCC